GAGCCUAAACAUGGAUGUGUACCUGAGGAACUUCCAGACCCGGGGGCCUAAACAUGGACGCCUGAGGAACUUCCAGAUCCUAGAGCUCAACAUGGACGUGCACCAAAGGAACUUCUGGAUCCAGGGGCCUAAACAUGCAUGUGAACCUGAGGAACUUUUGGAUGCUACAGUCUAAACAUGGAGGACUGAGAACUUCCAGAUCCGGGGGCUUAAACAUGGACAUGCACCUGAUGAACUUCCAGAUCCUGGGGCUUAAACAUGGGCAUGUGCCUGAGGAACUUCCAGAUCCUAGAGCCUAAUCAUGGAUGCCUGAGGCACUUCCAGAUCCGGGGGCCUAAACAUGGAUGCCUGAAGCACUUCCAGAUCCAGGGGCUUAAACAUGGACAUGUGCCUGAGGAACUUCUGGAUGCUGCAGCCUAAACAUGGACGCCAGAGGCACUUCCGGAUCUGAGGGCCCAAAGAUGGACGUGCACCUGAGGAACUUCCUGAUCCGGGGCCCUAAACAUGAACGCCUGAGGAACUUCCCGAUCCUAGAGUCUCAACAGGAUGUGCACCUUUGGAACUUACGGAUCUGGGGGCCUAAACAUGGACACAGAGGAACUUCCGGAUGCCAGGGCCUAAAUAUGGAUGUAUCCCUGGAACUUCUGGGUCCUUGUGCCUAUAAAGGGCAGGGUGUGACUCUCAGAAGGGACAUGGCACAUGAAGAGAAGCUGAGUAUGGGGCCUGUUGGGGGGCAGACUGAGCUGUUGCACCCUGAAUUUGAAUGUGACAGUGGCCUCACUUCCCGGCCUUCCCCUGGGUGUCAGUUCCUCCCUUUCCAGGCAGUGCCGGGGAGGAAGUGACACCAGCCACGGAGGCCAGGCUCUGAGGAGGCACCUUUCUCCUCACUUAGCCAGGUACCCGGCCUGGCUGGGGACAGGGACGUCUUGUGACACUGGCUGCCUCCUGUAUCCCUGCCCCAUGACUUCAGGGACCACAAGCGGAGACAGUCGUUGACAUGAUUCUCCCCUGGCCACUGACUCUCAGCCUCAGGGUCUGCCCAGGGAGAGCGCUGUCUCCCAGAGGCUCAGGGGACCCC
rnacentral:lncRNA from 1 species